GUUGAACGGCCACAUUGGGACUGAGACACGGCCCAGACUCCUACGGGAGGCAGCAGUGGGGAAUAUUGCACAAUGGGGGAAACCCUGAUGCAGCGACGCCGCGUGGAGGAAGAAGGUCUUCGGAUUGUAAACUCCUGUUGUUGAGGAAGAUAAUGACGGUACUCAACAAGGAAGUGACGGCUAACUACGUGCCAGCAGCCGCGGUAAAACGUAGGUCACAAGCGUUGUCCGGAAUUACUGGGUGUAAAGGGAGCGCAGGCGGGCGAUCAAGUUGGAAGUGAAAUCCAUGGGCUCAACCCAUGAACUGCUUUCAAAACUGGUCGUCUUGAGUAGUGCAGAGGUAGGCGGAAUUCCCGGUGUAGCGGUGGAAUGCGUAGAUAUCGGGAGGAACACCAGAGGCGAAGGCGGCCUACUGGGCACCAACUGACGCUGAGGCUCGAAAGUGUGGGUAGCAAACAGGAUUAGAUACCCUGGUAGUCCACACCGUAAACGAUGAUUACUAAGUGUUGGGAGAUUGACCCUCUCAGUGCCGCAGUUAACACAAUAAGUAAUCCACCUGGGGAGUACGACCGCAAGGUUGAAACUCAAAGGAAUUGACGGGGGCCCGCACAAGCAGUGGAGUAUGUGGUUUAAUUCGACGCAACGCGAAGAACCUUACCAAGUCUUGACAUCCCUUGACGAUGCUGGAAACAGUAUUUCUCUUCGGAGCAAGGAGACAGGUGGUGCAUGGUUGUCGUCAGCUCGUGUCGUGAGAUGUUGGGUUAAGUCCCGCAACGAGCGCAACCCUUAUGGUCAGUUACUACGCAAGAGGACUCUGGCCAGACUGCCGUUGACAAAACGGAGGAAGGUGGGGAUGACGUCAAAUCAUCAUGCCCUUUAUGACUUGGGCUACACACGUACUACAAUGGCGUUAAACAAAGAGAAGCAAGACCGCGAGGUGGAGCAAAACUCAGAAACAACGUCCCAGUUCGGACUGCAGGCUGCAACUCGCCUGCACGAAGUCGGAAUUGCUAGUAAUCGUGGAUCAGCAUGCCACGGUGAAUACGUUCCCGGGCCUUGUACACACCGCCCGUCACACCAUGAGAGCCGGGGGGACCCGAAGUCGGUAGUCUAACCGCAAGGAGGACGCCGCCUAAGGUAAAACUGGUGAUUGGGGUGAAGUCGUAACAAGGUAG
rnacentral:rRNA from 1 species